rnacentral:tRNA from 1 species
GCCGGAUUAGCUCAACGGGAAAGAGCUCCUGUCUCGUAAACAGGUGGCGCGGGUUCGAGUCCUGCAUCCGGCUCCA